UACGAAGGGGGGCUAGCGUUGCUCGGAAUCACUGGGCGUAAAGCGCACGUAGGCGGACUCUUAAGUCGGUGGUGAAAUCCUGGAGCUCAACUCCAGAACUGCCUUCGAUACUAGAGUCUCGAGUCCGAGAGAGGUGAGUGGAAACUGCGAGUGUAGAGGUGAAAAUUCGUAGAUAUUCGCAAGAACACCAGUGGCGAAGGCGGCCCUCUGGACCAGUACUGACGCUGAGGGCACGAAAAGCGUGGGGGGAGCAAAACAGGGAAUUUAGAAA
rnacentral:rRNA from 1 species